rnacentral:rRNA from 1 species
CCUACGGGCGGCAGCAGUGGGGAAUAUUGGGCAAUGGGCGCAAGCCUGACCCAGCAACGCCGCGUGAAGGAAGAAGGCUUUCGGGUUGUAAACUUCUUUUGACAGGGAAGAGCAGAAGACGGUACCUGUCGAAUAAGCCACGGCUAACUACGUGCCAGCAGCCGCGGUAAUACGUAGGUGGCAAGCGUUGUCCGGAUUUACUGGGGGUAAAGGGCGUGUAGCCGGGCUGACAAGUCAGAUGUGAAAUCCGGGGGCUCAACCCCCGAACUGCAUUUGAAACUGUUGGUCUUGAGUAUCGGAGAGGCAGGCGGAAUUCCUAGUGUAGCGGUGAAAUGCGUAGAUAUUAGGAGGAACACCAGUGGCGAAGGCGGCCUGCUGGACGACAACUGACGGUGAGGCGCGAAAGCGUGGGGAGCAAACAGGAUUAGAUACCCGUGUAGUC